CUUGGAUCUGUGUUUCUUUUGACCGUGUGUGGACCGUUCGAUUGAAUGAAUAGUGGAGAUCAAAAUAUGGCUAGCUCUUGGUUUCUAGUGUAUACAGCUGAGAGGGUCAGAUUUUUUAGACCGGCCUUUUGAAUUUCUCUUGUUUUUCUCUCUCUAUUUUGGGAGACUUUCUUCUUCCUCCUUCUUGGCCCUUAGAAUCUGGAGAUUUUAUUCUUUUGUAAGAUUCCUGUAAAUCUCGUGUGCUACAGUAACUAUGAGACAGUUUGUGUAGGCGAUCUGUUGUACUUGUAUAGUUGUGGUCGGUUUGAGAGGAAGCAGUGUGUUGUGUCCAGAUUUGAGAUCCGUUUGGACCGAUGAUUGAUCUGGUUGUGCUCUUUUGGUUCUGUGUACUGUACUCUCCCUAGGAGGUAGAAUUGCACUAGUGGAUUGGGCUGACUCUGAGCCCCCCAGAUUAAGCCAUUCGGGCCGAACUGGGUGAACAUUUUCUGUGUUCCUUUAUUUUCUUGCACUUUGCGUUUGUGUUGGUAGUGUAGCUCUCAGUUUUGGGUAAAAAAUUCCCUACAAAUCUGGUAUCAGAGCUAUUAAAGGCGUGAGGU
rnacentral:lncRNA from 1 species